rnacentral:rRNA from 1 species
UACGUAGGGGGCUAGCGUUGUCCGGAAUUAUUGGGCGUAAAGAGCGUGUAGGCGGCCAGGUAAGUCUGCUGUGAAAACUCGAGGCUCAACCUCGAGACGUCGGCGGAAACCAUCUGGCUAGAGUCCGGAAGAGGAGAGUGGAAUUCCUGGUGUAGCGGUGAAAUGCGCAGAUAUCAGGAAGAACACCCGUGGCGAAGGCGGCUCUCUGGGACGGUACUGACGCUGAGACGCGAAAGCGUGGGGAGCGAACAGG